rnacentral:antisense_RNA from 1 species
CAGCUCAGGCAGAUUUCUAAGCAGCAAAUCAGCCUCUGCCAGAACACUGCAGGACACCAGUGCAGCGCCCAGCCUGCGACCAUGAGGCAUUUAAAAAUUUGUGGCACUUCCAGAGUCACAUCAACAUUCCCUGAUGGAAGCCUUUAGAAAUCCUAACCAGGAAGUGGCCAGAGCCUGGAGCCAGAGACGAACGUCCCUCGUAGGAGGGGUUGCUGGAGGGGGAGGGGCAAAUCUAUUUCAUUCUGUCCUUGCAGGCACAUUUUCAUCAGUUAAUGAUGCAAACCAGGCUGAAACGUUCUUAACAAGCAUGUGUGUUUCUGUUUUUCAUUUGAAAGUCGGAGCAUGAGGCUAUAUUCAUCAUAGAGGCAGGGUUUCUCUGUGUCAGAGCUCAGCAUUGGCAGCUCUAGCAAAGGACAGACUGCAUUUAGCUGAUUCUUUUCUAAGAAGCCACAGUCAGGCACUAAACCAGCAUCUACACCUCUGAGGCCCCUCAAAGCCUCCAGUGAAGCUGGGCUUGAUCAGACCUCAAAAAGAUCUCCCUUUGUGUUUUGCUCUUAGUUCUCAGUGAUCUUUAAAAAAUAAUAAUAAAAAAAUAAAUUAGAA